rnacentral:lncRNA from 10 species
CUAAGCACCAAAGAAAACAAAUUCUGAAAAUUUAAUGUGAUUUUAAGAUGAGCCAUGAAAAUACAGGAGUGGCAAGUAAGCACACUCAUUGUAAUGUAGGCAUGCUAAUAUGUAAUUAGGGUGACUAAUUACAUAUAUUGUUUGGCUAAAUAUACUAAAACCCUGCCCCCUCCUCUAGGAGCCUUGGAAUGGACAAAAACAGAGAGAGGGGCCCCGCACCUCAGGGUCUAGAUAGAUAGAUAGAUAACAAAUCUAUGGCUCUGGAGACAAAAUACAAAAAAAUUAGCCAAGCGUGGUUGCGGGAGCCUGUAAUCCCAGCUACUCAGGAGGCUGAGGCAGGAGAAUCACUGCAUUGGGAUAGCCAUUUUCUGGAAGAAUACACAGAAAACUGUUGACCAUAGUCACUGCUAAGGUGGAGCUUAAUAAGGAAGCUCAUUUUUAUCAUAAAAUUUUUUGGACCCUUUCUUUUAACCACAUCCAUAAUUUUGCUUGAAAUCUGGAUUUUAUACUCCAGGACAUGGGUCCAAUAUCUAUACUUCCGUAUUUAUUCAUGAAAGUAGAAGGUAGAUUGGUAGAAGGGAGGGAGGGGUGAGGAGAAGUUGAUUAACGGGCAUAAAUAAGAGGUUUGAUAGGAGAAAUAAAACCUAGCACUUGAUAGAUCAGUGGGUUCACUAUAGUUUACGAUAUGUACUGUAUAUUCCUAAAUAGUUAGCUUAUGUUAGUUAUGUUUCUAGCAUAAAGAAAAGACUAAAUAUUUCAGGCGACAGAUAUCCCAUUUGCUGAAUAAGGAUGGGACGGAUGAACAGUGCAAGUGUUCCGGACAAGAAUGGAUGAAUUUUACCCCUAGGUCUCCCUUAUAAAACCCUGGACUCGACUGGAGAGUAGGAAUUAGGGAACAGAAGAGCAAACAUUCAAGAAGUGAAGAUGUUCAAAAAAAAUGAUAUUUCUGGGAGGAAAGGAAGAGAGUGGAGGGGAAGUUCAUUUGCUGAACACGUCUAAGGCAUUGAGGGCCUCAGGGAGGAUGGGGGAAGGGGGAUGGGAAGGUUGUGGGGGUCUACCCACCCUGUUCCUGGAAGGGAGAGAUCCCGGUCCCCUCUCUAGCCCCACACUGGGGCCCUCACCCUCAAACAUAAAGGUGUCAGCUUCUGCUCUUAUGUCCUCAUCAGAUAACUUCUUCCCGUCUUCAUCCUGGAGAGAAGGCAGUAACCCCCCCCAACCCCCACCCCCAUAAAAAGUCACACUAGCUCUAAGGGCUCUUGAGUCUAAUCUGAGACAGUCUCUGAAGAUUCAUCCUUUUUCCAGAAAUCCAAGUCCAUCUUGCACUCCUAGACCCCUCUUGGUCACCAUGGCCAGAGCCCUCACCUCAUGGCCUUCCUCUCUGGCUUCCUUGCCUCCUCUUGGGUUCCUACUGGGAAGACUCAAUGACCCAUGAAUAUUUUAAUGAAAAGUUUCUGAGAAAAAGUUACUGGCAACCUGAGUUACAGGAGAAUUAAAUGGCAAUUUCCCUUGGAAAUUAGAGAUUAAGUAUUGCUUCAAAGAUUUGCCCACAUUCUAGAGUGAUAAAUCUAGAGAAUCUUAUCCCCCUGGAGACGUUUGGGUUGUAAGGCUAAGGACUAUGGCAUCUCACUGAAGAGGAUUUGUUUAUGCUCCAGAACAAAGCACACCAUCUCUCACAAAGCUACCAUUCUCACUCAAUCUCUCUCUCUCUCUUUCUCUGUCUCUCUCAUUCUCUUUCUUGGGAAGAAAUAGAAAAUGUGCCAAGACUCAUAAUGUAGGGCCCCUCUCUUAGGAUGCAAACUCUGCUGCACAUACAAGUGAAAACAUUACCCUUGGAGAAAUUUGACUUGAGGAUGAAGAGCCAGUGCCACAAUCCCACUCUGGCUAACAGUAUUGCUGUGAGCAAGACAUGGGCUGCUCUGAUCUAGAGGUUUAAUGCAUCUGUCACAAUAGACCUACACAUAGACAAAGACAUAGACACAGACACAAACACACAUAGACAAAGUCAUAGACUUAGAAACUGACACAGACACACAAAUACACAUAAACAUAGACAUAACACAGAUAUAGACACAGACACACACACAUAAAGUCACAGACUUAGAAACACAAACACACAAAUACAAAUAAACAUAGACAUAGACACAGAUAUAGACACAGGCACACACAUAUAGACUAAGUCACAGACUUAGAAACACAGACACACAAAUACACGUAAACAUAGACAUAGACACAGAUAUAGACACAGACAUACGCACACAUACACAAAAACACAGACUUAGAAACACAGACACACAUAAACAUAGACAUAGACACACACACACAUAGACAAAGUCACAGACUUAGAAACACAGACACAUAAAUACACAUAAACAUAGACAUAGACACAGAUAUAGACACAGACACACACACAUAGAUAAAGUCACAGACUUAGAAACACAGACACACAAAUACACGUAAACCUAGACAUAGACACAGAUAUAGACACAGACACACACACACAUAGACUAAGUCACAGACUUAGAAACAUGGACACACAAAUACACAUAAACAUAGACAUAGACACAGAUAUAGACACAGGCACACACAUAUAGACUAAGUCACAGACUUAGAAACACAGACACACAAAUACACGUAAACAUAGACAUAGACACAGAUAUAGACACAGACAUACACACACAUACACAAAAUCACAGACUUAGAAACACAAACACACAUAAACAUAGACAUAGACACAGACACACGCACACAUAGACUAAGUCACAGACUUAGAAACACAGGCACACAAAUACACAUAAACCUAGACAUAGACACAGAUAUAGACACAGACACACACACACAUAGACAAAGUCACAGACUUAGAAACACAGACACACAAAUACACGUAAACAUAGACAUAGACACAGAUAUAGAUAUAGACACAGACACACACACACAUAGACUGUCACAGACUUAGAAACAUGGACACACAAAUACACAUAAACACAGACAUAGACACAGACACAAACACACAUAGAUGAAGUCACAGAUUUAGAAACACAGACACACAAAUACACAUAAACAAACAUAGACAUAGACACACACACAUAGACAAAGUCACAGACUUAGAAACACAGGCACACAAAUACAAAUACACAUAAACAUAGACACAGAUAGACACAGACGCACACACAUAGAUGAAGUCACAGACUUAGAAACACAGACACACAAAUACACAUAAACAUAGACAUAGACACAGACACACACG